rnacentral:tRNA from 1 species
GGUCGCGUAACUCAGUUGGUUAGAGUGUCGUACUAAUACUUCUUCUCCUCAGGAAGUGUCAUGUAAUGCGAAAGCCGAGAGUUCAAGCCUCUCCGUGACCA